UUUGCUGCGUUCGAUGACAAUGGUCACUGACGAGAGGAAUCGGAAUUCAAACUGAUGGUCCAAGUAUCCGUCUCUAAGCUCAGAGGCACGGCACUUGUUUAUCCAAAGUAUGUUUCUGUUCCCAUGUUCUGCGUUUGAGUGAUUAUGGCCUGCGUGAGUGAUGGUGAUCCGGUAGGGAAUGGAGAGGCCGAUAAUGAAAUUGAAUUGGUUCCGUGGUGAACCGAGACUGUUAUGGAGAUCUGGAGAUGGUUGCCGGCAUCAAAGGCAGAUGUUGAGGAGAAGGAGGUUUCCGAGAAGGAAGUUGACAUCUCUGGAUCUCAAGGUUUCACUGGCAAUAUAGUUUUGUCGUAUUUAUUAAUGACGCUUCAUUCAGCAUUUUGAAUAAGGGGAAGAAAUCAUCGACUCUAAAAAAUCUGACAGCAUAUGAGCGGUUUCAAAUAUUGGAAGAGUUCGAUUUGAUGCUCCCUUCCUCCAAGUUCUUUACAACUUGUCAAGUACCAUAGUAUAUUUAAUACGUUUCUCUAAAUAGCAUUGUAUAUCUAUAAAGGAUAAUGUUUUUGAAAUGAAACUUAGUUUGUUAUAAAGAAACUUUGUUGGCUGACUACCUUUUCUAAAAGGUUUGAUGUUUUGCGAAAAUUAUGGUGAGUUUAAAAGUCAGCAGUACUUCUCAAAUUUAAUUUGAAUUUGGGUCAAAACCAGAACUAAUGAUUAUUUGGAUUUAAUGCGAAUCACUAAAUUCAAACAUUUGACGAACCUACAUUUGGUAUAUUUUUAGUAGGCUCGACUUGCUAACUUGCAUGUUUUGCAGUAUGUUAAAUAUUUGACAUAGCAAGAGUCAAUAUUUGAAAAGUCUCAAAGGGAAUUCAUGCAUAUCUUUGGUAACAGUGGCUACCAAUGUAAAAAAACAAGGUAUUUUGAAAUGUAAGUUGUGACAUGCUUUAGAAUCGAAAGCUUCAACACCAUUAUUGUUUUCGGCUGCUUAUUUUAACAUUCUUUACAAGUAUAGUAAAGUGUUGUAUAGAAUAUCUCUUAUCAGUGGGAGUUACUUAUAUUAUCAUGCUGGUUAUUAUGUUUUGACAUUUCAUAGUUGGUUCCAUCUAGAAGGUACUGAAAAUCAAUUGAAAUCAUUUUAUGGCAUAUUUUCUUGUAGAAACAAUGAGAAAUCUUUGUAGGUGCAUUACAAUGCCAAAAGAUUAAUGAUUGGAUAGCAGGAACCUGAGAAUUUAUUUUUUAUUUGAAGAUUUUGGAAAUGUUAAUUGAUUUUGAUCAAAGGACUGAAGUACAUCAUUGAUCUUGUGAGAUUUUGUGGGACAAUUUGCACCAUUACUAAUGUCUAGAAGAUUUAAACUUAUGAAUUCUUGCUUUGAUACAAUGUGAGAUUUUGUGGGAUUAUUGUAACUAUUCUAAAAGCUUAAAUUAUUAGAUUAAUACAUGGUUUAAUAUUUAUUCAUUUUGAUCUCUCUUUUUUUUUUUUUAAAUGUGUAAAAAGGAAUUACUAAUUCUAGUAAGAAGUCUCGAGAUUGGAUGGCCACCUAGGGUAUGACGGUUUUGCUAGAAGGAUAUCUUUCAAGGAAACUAACAUAAAAUAUUACCGCAAGGUUAAUAUCAUAAGUGAGGCAUAAGUGUCAAUUGAGUCUCUCUGACUUUUUUUGAAGUAUACAGUUUUACAUACAAAUCAAAGGAGGACCAGACUUUAAAAUAGCAUUAAUGGAUCACAUGAAGACAUGUUAUUUUUGGUUAUGUCAUUACGUUGACCCAUCCCGAUAGAAUAGCAUAUAGCAUUUGUAGUCACGGUUGGCUGACAUUGAUUGAGAGAGGGGUUAUGAUGGCUAUGGUUCGAUGUUGAUGUUUUUGUUGGUGGUGGUUGUUUAAUGUUUUAGCAGCCUUUGAGUUAUUUUAUAGAAUUUAGUUUUUUCAAAAAUGUCUUGCAAUUAACGUUGCCCAAGUGAAAGAAUGUUGAAAAUACUUAUGAACGCAGGUUAACAUUAAUUGCACAAUAUUUUAGUUUGUGAAACAGAUUGUUAUAAAGUUAAUAAAACGAGACAAUGCUAAAUCACUAAGUUCGUUCAUGUAAUUAUAUUAUAUUGGGCUUAGCACAUCUUAGUUACGGUGAUCGUAGUUGAAUGGUCAAUAUAGGUCAGUAUUUUAACAAUGACUUGUGAUAGAUAGCUCUCUUAGAAUAUGCUAUGUAAAUAUGCUAUAGUCCUCUCUCCUCUCCUAAUUUCAUACGCUUACUGUUUAUGCAGUGAGACUGUCCAAAGGAGAAGAAGGACAGGAACACCUACUCUCGAAUUCAUACGAUUUCAUUUGUUUUGAUCAAUUCAAGAAUGACGUUUGGCUAAACCAGCUACAUUUUUUAUAUUUAAGGAUAGGUAUUUCUAAAUUAUGUAUACCAAUUUUAGGUUGUUGAAUUUCUUACAUUAUCAAGCCCAAAACAUGGAGUGAAAUGGCAAACUG
rnacentral:lncRNA from 1 species